rnacentral:rRNA from 1 species
GUCUGUUUGUAGGUGUAAAUAGUCUAACCUGCCCACUGAUAAAUAUUAAAGGGCCGCGGUAUUCUGACCGUGCAAAGGUAGCAUAAUCGUUAGUUUCUUAAUUGGGAUCUUGUAUGAAUGGUUGGACAAAAGAAAAUCUGUCUUUAUAGUUAAUAUUGAAUUUAACUUUUAAGUGAGAAGGCUUAAAUAUAUUAAAGGGACGAUAAGACCCUAUAAAGCUUGAUAUAGUUCUAGUAUUAAGUCAAAUUUGGUGGUUUAUAAAGGCUUAGUAUUUAAAUUUUAUUAUAUUGGGGCGAUAAAAGUAAAAUGGAUAAUAACUGCUUUAUUUUUAGACAAAAUUCAAUGAUUAAUGUGUAACAAAAGAUCCUAAAUAAAGAUUUAAAGAUUAAGUUACUUUAGGGAUAACAGCGUUAUUUUUUUUGAGAGUUCUUAUCGAAAAAAAAGUUUGCGACCUCGAUGUUGAAUUAAAAUUUCUUUACAAUUGCAGGAGUUGUAAAAGAAGGUCUGUUCGACCUUUAAAUUUUU